rnacentral:tRNA from 1 species
GCCUGGCUGGCUCAGUUGGUAGAGGAUGUGACUCUUGAUCUCAGGGUCAUGAGUUCGAGCCCCACGUUGGGUG